GGUGCCAAAAAAAAGGAAGUAUUUUGUCAUCUCCAUCUAUCUAGACUGAUAAUAAAUGCUGCUAGAUUAAAUCAAGCAACAUCCAGUUGUUCAAGCAAGAAUCUAGAAGAAGGGAUAAAAAAUUGCGAAGAGCAAAAGAACAGUUAAUCACCAAAAGUAAACGAAAUUCCUUAUUGUAAUAUUAUUACCUUGUAUUUAUCCAUAACAUGUUCAAAUAAGUAUUUUUUUAUUUGUAUGCAAUAAACUUAGAUAGAGAUU